ACGCUCGACACCUACGGGAGGCAGCAGUAGGGAAUUUUCGUCAAUGGGGGGAACCCUGAACGAGCAAUGCCGCGUGAGCGAAGAAGGUCUUCGGAUCGUAAAGCUCUGUUGUAAGAGAAAAACGAGUGCCAUAGGGAAUGAUGGCGCAGUGAUGGUAUCUUACCAGAAAGCCACGGCUAACUACGUUCCAGCAGCCGCGGUAAUCUGAGCGGGCUGGCAAGGC
rnacentral:rRNA from 1 species